UCCCUAGUGACCGAUAGUGAACCAGUACCGUGAGGGAAAGGUGAAAAGCACCCCGGAAGGGGAGUGAAACAGUUCCUGAAACCGUGUGCCUACAAGUAGUUAGAGCCCGUUAAUGGGUGAUAGCGUGCCUUUUGUAGAAUGAACCGGCGAGUUACGAUUUGUUGCAAGGUUAAGCGGAAAAAGCGGAGCCGUAGCGAAAGCGAGUCUGAAUAGGGCGCAUAAGUAACAGGUCGUAGACCCGAAACCAGGUGAUCUACCCAUGUCCAGGAUGAAGGUAAGGUAAUACUUACUGGAGGUCCGAACCCACGCACGUUGAAAAGUGCGGGGAUGAGGUGUGGGUAGCGGAGAAAUUCCAAUCGAACUUGGAGAUAGCUGGUUCUCUCCGAAAUAGCUUUAGGGCUAGCCUCGAGGUAAAGAGUCAUGGAGGUAGAGCACUGUUUGGACUAGGGGCCCUUCUCGGGUUACCGAAUUCAGAUAAACUCCGAAUGCCAUGUACUUAUACUCGGGAGUCAGACUGCGAGUGAUAAGAUCCGUAGUCGAAAGGGAAACAGCCCAGACCACCAGUUAAGGUCCCCAAAUAUAUGUUAAGUGGAAAAGGAUGUGGGGUUGCUUAGACAACCAGGAUGUUGGCUUAGAAGCAGCCACCAUUGAAAGAGUGCGUAAUAGCUCACUGGUCGAGUGACCCCGCGCCGAAAAUGUACCGGGGCUAAACAUAUUACCGAAACUGUGGAUGAACCUCUUUAGAGGUUCGUGGUAGGAGAGCGUUCUAAGGGCGGUGAAGUCAGACCGGAAGGACUGGUGGAGCGCUUAGAAGUGAGAAUGCCGGUAUGAGUAGCGAAAGAAGGGUGAGAAUCCCUUCCACCGAAUAUCUAAGGUUUCCUGAGGAAGGCUCGUCCGCUCAGGGUUAGUCGGGACCUAAGCCGAGGCCGAUAGGCGUAGGCGAUGGACAACAGGUAGAGAUUCCUGUACCAGUGCUAAUUGUUUAACCGAUGGGGUGACACAGAAGGAUAGGGAAUCGCACGAAUGGAAAUGUGCGUCCAAGCAGUGAGUGUGAGAA
rnacentral:rRNA from 1 species